rnacentral:rRNA from 1 species
GAUGAACGCUGGCGGCGUGCCUAAUACAUGCAAGUCGAGCGAACAGAUGAGGAGCUUGCUCCUCUGACGUUAGCGGCGGACGGGUGAGUAACACGUGGAUAACCUACCUAUAAGACUGGGAUAACUUCGGGAAACCGGAGCUAAUACCGGAUAAUAUAUUGAACCGCAUGGUUCAAUAGUGAAAGACGGUUUUGCUGUCACUUAUAGAUGGAUCCGCGCCGCAUUAGCUAGUUGGUAAGGUAACGGCUUACCAAGGCAACGAUGCGUAGCCGACCUGAGAGGGGGAUCGGCCACACCGGAACUGAGACACCGGCCCGACUCCUACGGGAGGGCGCAGUAGGGAAUCUUUCGGAAUGGGCGGAAGGCCGACGGAGGCAAGGCGGGUGAGUGAUGAAGGGCCUUCGAUUGUAAAACCCUGGUAUUAGGGAAGAACAAAUUUGGAAGGAAACAUGGACGGUUUGGAGGGAACCAAACAGAAAGGCACGGGCAAACAAGUG